AAUCUAGAAGUUGGUCCGUGUGUCGAUACGGCUUCCGGCUGACGUGUUUGUCAUUGCUUCGGGGAGAGCAGGCCAGCACUUAAUUUUCAACUCUUGUACAGAAGACAUCUGAUCUCCCGAUCUCCGGUGGCCAUUGCCAGAAUUUACCUUUUAGUUGAAAAAGUUAUAAGAUUAAUUUACGUUGGAGGAAGUUUUUAUUUUGUUUUGGGUUUUGUGAAGAGGUUGAGGAGAAGAGUUUUUGUUUCCAAUACUUUUUUGAAGAGCAAUGGCCACUGGAGAAAAAGGAAAUUAAGUCACCAUUUUUGUUUUUGUUGGAUAUGGAAUAAGCAAUCAGUUUGGGGUUUCUUUUGGUGUGGAUUGGGAUUUUAUGUUUUUUUGGAAUCAACAUUGAUUUUUACCGGUACUAGUAAGUACCUCCUCAUCGGACCAUCCGUAUUGUGGUUGAGUAUCUCCCCAGGAUUGGAAACCGGAGGAUACCUACCUGGCUCUCCCAUCGUCAAC
rnacentral:lncRNA from 1 species